UACACUCCUACGGGAGGCAGCAGUGGGGAAUUUUGGACAAUGGGCGAAAGCCUGAUCCAGCAAUGCCGCGUGAGUGAAGAAGGCCUUCGGGUUGUAAAGCUCUUUUGUCAGGGAAGAAACGGUGAGAGCUAAUAUCUUUUGCUAAUGACGGUACCUGAAGAAUAAGCAACGGCUAACUACGUGCCAGCAGCCGCGGUAAUACGUAGGGUGCAAGCGUUAAUCGGAAUUACUGGGCGUAAAGCGUGCGCAGGCGGUUUUGUAAGUCUGAUGUGAAAUCCCCGGGCUCAACCUGGGAAUUGCAAUGGAGACUGCAAGGCUAGAAUCUGGCAGAGGGGGGUAGAAUUCCACGUGUAGCAGUGAAAUGCGUAGAUAUGUGGAGGAACACCGAUGGCGAAGGCAGCCCCCUGGGUCAAGAUUGACGCUCAUGCACGAAAGCGUGGGGAGCAAACAGGAUUAGAAACCCGAGUAGUCCCAUGAU
rnacentral:rRNA from 1 species